GUUGAACGCUGGCGGCAGGCCUAACACAUGCAAGUCGAACGGUAACAGGAAACAGCUUGCUGUUUCGCUGACGAGUGGCGGACGGGUGAGUAAUGUCUGGGAAACUGCCUGAUGGAGGGGGAUAACUACUGGAAACGGUAGCUAAUACCGCAUAACGUCGCAAGACCAAAGAGGGGGACCUUCGGGCCUCUUGCCAUCGGAUGUGCCCAGAUGGGAUUAGCUAGUAGGUGGGGUAACGGCUCACCUAGGCGACGAUCCCUAGCUGGUCUGAGAGGAUGACCAGCCACACUGGAACUGAGACACGGUCCAGACUCCUACGGGAGGCAGCAGUGGGGAAUAUUGCACAAUGGGCGCAAGCCUGAUGCAGCCAUGCCGCGUGUAUGAAGAAGGCCUUCGGGUUGUAAAGUACUUUCAGCGGGGAGGAAGGGAGUAAAGUUAAUACCUUUACUCAUUGACGUUACCCGCAGAAGAAGCACCGGCUAACUCCGUG
rnacentral:rRNA from 1 species